GGUUAAGCGACUAAGCGUACACGGUGGAUGCCCUGGCAGUCAGAGGCGAUGAAGGACGUGCUAAUCUGCGAUAAGCGUCGGUAAGGUGAUAUGAACCGUUAUAACCGGCGAUUUCCGAAUGGGGAAACCCAGUGUGAUUCGUCACACUAUCAUUAACUGAAUCCAUAGGUUAAUGAGGCGAACCGGGGAACUGAAACAUCUAAGUACCCCGAGGAAAAGAAAUCAACCGAGAUUCCCCCAGUAGCGGCGAGCGAACGGGGAGCAGCCCAGAGCCUGAAUCAGUGUGUGUGUUAGUGGAAGCGUCUGGAAAGGCGUGCGAUACAGGGUGACAGCCCCGUACACAAAAAUGCACAUACUGUGAGCUCGAUGAGUAGGGCGGGACACGUGGUAUCCUGUCUGAAUAUGGGGGGACCAUCCUCCAAGGCUAAAUACUCCUGACUGACCGAUAGUGAACCAGUACCGUGAGGGAAAGGCGAAAAGAACCCCGGCGAGGGGAGUGAAAAAGAACCUGAAACCGUGUACGUACAAGCAGUGGGAGCACGCUUAGGCGUGUGACUGCGUACCUUUUGUAUAAUGGGUCAGCGACUUAUAUUCUGUAGCAAGGUUAACCGAAUAGGGGAGCCGAAGGGAAACCGAGUCUUAACUGGGCGUUAAGUUGCAGGGUAUAGACCCGAAACCCGGUGAUCUAGCCAUGGGCAGGUUGAAGGUUGGGUAACACUAACUGGAGGACCGAACCGACUAAUGUUGAAAAAUUAGCGGAUGACUUGUGGCUGGGGGUGAAAGGCCAAUCAAACCGGGAGAUAGCUGGUUCUCCCCGAAAGCUAUUUAGGUAGCGCCUCGUGAAUUCAUCUCCGGGGGUAGAGCACUGUUUCGGCAAGGGGUCAUCCCGACUUACCAACCCGAUGCAAACUGCGAAUACCGGAGAAUGUUAUCACGGGAGACACACGGCGGGUGCUAACGUCCGUCGUGAAGAGGGAAACAACCCAGACCGCCAGCUAAGGUCCCAAAGUCAUGGUUAAGUGGGAAACGAUGUGGGAAGGCCCAGACAGCCAGGAUGUUGGCUUAGAAGCAGCCAUCAUUUAAAGAAAGCGUAAUAGCUCACUGGUCGAGUCGGCCUGCGCGGAAGAUGUAACGGGGCUAAACCAUGCACCGAAGCUGCGGCAGCGACGCUUAUGCGUUGUUGGGUAGGGGAGCGUUCUGUAAGCCUGUGAAGGUGUACUGUGAGGUAUGCUGGAGGUAUCAGAAGUGCGAAUGCUGACAUAAGUAACGAUAAAGCGGGUGAAAAGCCCGCUCGCCGGAAGACCAAGGGUUCCUGUCCAACGUUAAUCGGGGCAGGGUGAGUCGACCCCUAAGGCGAGGCCGAAAGGCGUAGUCGAUGGGAAACAGGUUAAUAUUCCUGUACUUGGUGUUACUGCGAAGGGGGGACGGAGAAGGCUAUGUUGGCCGGGCGACGGUUGUCCCGGUUUAAGCGUGUAGGCUGGUUUUCCAGGCAAAUCCGGAAAAUCAAGGCCGAGGCGUGAUGACGAGGCACUACGGUGCUGAAGCAACAAAUGCCCUGCUUCCAGGAAAAGCCUCUAAGCAUCAGGUAACAUCAAAUCGUACCCCAAACCGACACAGGUGGUCAGGUAGAGAAUACCAAGGCGCUUGAGAGAACUCGGGUGAAGGAACUAGGCAAAAUGGUGCCGUAACUUCGGGAGAAGGCACGCUGAUACGUAGGUGAAGCGACUUGCUCGUGGAGCUGAAAUCAGUCGAAGAUACCAGCUGGCUGCAACUGUUUAUUAAAAACACAGCACUGUGCAAACACGAAAGUGGACGUAUACGGUGUGACGCCUGCCCGGUGCCGGAAGGUUAAUUGAUGGGGUUAGCGCAAGCGAAGCUCUUGAUCGAAGCCCCGGUAAACGGCGGCCGUAACUAUAACGGUCCUAAGGUAGCGAAAUUCCUUGUCGGGUAAGUUCCGACCUGCACGAAUGGCGUAAUGAUGGCCAGGCUGUCUCCACCCGAGACUCAGUGAAAUUGAACUCGCUGUGAAGAUGCAGUGUACCCGCGGCAAGACGGAAAGACCCCGUGAACCUUUACUAUAGCUUGACACUGAACAUUGAGCCUUGAUGUGUAGGAUAGGUGGGAGGCUUUGAAGUGUGGACGCCAGUCUGCAUGGAGCCGACCUUGAAAUACCACCCUUUAAUGUUUGAUGUUCUAACGUGGACCCGUAAUCCGGGUUGCGGACAGUGUCUGGUGGGUAGUUUGACUGGGGCGGUCUCCUCCUAAAGAGUAACGGAGGAGCACGAAGGUUGGCUAAUCCUGGUCGGACAUCAGGAGGUUAGUGCAAUGGCAUAAGCCAGCUUGACUGCGAGCGUGACGGCGCGAGCAGGUGCGAAAGCAGGUCAUAGUGAUCCGGUGGUUCUGAAUGGAAGGGCCAUCGCUCAACGGAUAAAAGGUACUCCGGGGAUAACAGGCUGAUACCGCCCAAGAGUUCAUAUCGACGGCGGUGUUUGGCACCUCGAUGUCGGCUCAUCACAUCCUGGGGCUGAAGUAGGUCCCAAGGGUAUGGCUGUUCGCCAUUUAAAGUGGUACGCGAGCUGGGUUUAGAACGUCGUGAGACAGUUCGGUCCCUAUCUGCCGUGGGCGCUGGAGAACUGAGGGGGGCUGCUCCUAGUACGAGAGGACCGGAGUGGACGCAUCACUGGUGUUCGGGUUGUCAUGCCAAUGGCACUGCCCGGUAGCUAAAUGCGGAAGAGAUAAGUGCUGAAAGCAUCUAAGCACGAAACUUGCCCCGAGAUGAGUUCUCCCUGACCCUUUAAGGGUCCUGAAGGAACGUUGAAGACGACGACGUUGAUAGGCCGGGUGUGUAAGCGCAGCGAUGCGUUGAGCUAACCGGUACUAAUGAACCGUGAGGCUUAACCUU
rnacentral:rRNA from 1 species